rnacentral:rRNA from 1 species
GAUGAACGCUAGCUACAGGCUUAACACAUGCAAGUCGAACGAGUGGCGGACGGGUGAGGAAUACAUCGGAAUCUACUCUGUCGUGGGGGAUAACGUAGGGAAACUUACGCUAAUACCGCAUACGAUUGAAUGAGCCGAUGUCGGAUUAGCUAGUUGGCGGGGUAAAGGCCCACCAAGGCGACGAUCCGUAGCUGGUCUGAGAGGAUGAUCAGCCACACUGGAACUGAGACACGGUCCAGACUCCUACGGGAGGCAGCAGUGGGGAAUAGUGGACAAUGGGCGCAAGCCUGAUCCAGCCAUGCCGCGUGGGUGAAGAAGGCCUUCGGGUUGUAAAGCCCUUUUGUUGGGAAAGCGGUACCCAAAGAAUAAGCACCGGCUAACUUCGUGCCAGCAGCCGCGGUAAUUC